CAGAGACUGCAAGCGUUAUUCGGAUUCACUGGGCGUAAAGGGUGCGCAGGCGGUUGGGUGUGUCAGAUGUGAAAUCCCGAGGCUUAACCUCGGAACUGCGUCUGAAACUACUCGACUAGAGUACUGGAGAGGGUAACGGAAUUCACGGUGUAGCAGUGAAAUGCGUAGAUAUCGUGAGGAACACCAGAGGCGAAGGCGGUUACCUGGACAGUUACUGACGCUCAGGCACGAAAGCAUGGGGAGCAAAAGGGAUUAGAUACCCCUGUAGUCCAUGCCCUAAAGGGUGCACACUAGGUCUUAGCGGAUUCGACCCCACUAGGGCCCAAGCUAACGCGUUAAGUGUGCCGCCUGAGGACUACGGUCGCAAGACUA
rnacentral:rRNA from 1 species